GCCAGCCGCCGCGGUAACACCGGCGGCCCGAGUGGUGAUCGUGAUUAUUGGGUCUAAAGGGUCCGUAGCCGGUUUGGUCAGGUCCUCCGGGAAAUCUGAUAGCUCAACUAUUAGGCUUUCGGGGGAUACUGCCAGACUUGGAACCGGGAGAGGUAAGAGGUACUACAGGGGUAGGAGUGAAAUCUUGUAAUCCCUGUGGGACCACCUGUGGCGAAGGCGUCUCACCAGAACGGGUUCGACGGUGAGGGACGAAAGCUGGGGGCACGAACCGGAUUAGAUACCCGGGUAGUCCCAGCCGUAAACGAUGCUCGCUAGGUGUCAGGCAUGGCGCGACCGUGUCUGGUGCCGCAGGGAAGCCGUGAAGCGAGCCACCUGGGAAGUACGGCCGCAAGGCUGAAACUUAAAGGAAUUGGCGGGGGAGCACAACAACGGGUGGAGCCCUGCGGUUUAAUUGGACUCAACGCCGGACAACUCACCGGGGGCGACAGCAAUAUGUAGGCCAAGCUGAAGACUUUGCCUGAAUCGCUGAGAAGAGGUGCAUGG
rnacentral:rRNA from 1 species